AUUGAACGCUGGCGGCAUGCCUUACACAUGCAAGUCGAACGGCAGCACGGGGCAACCUGGUGGCGAGUGGCGAACGGGUGAGUAAUGCAUCGGAACGUACCUUUCAGUGGGGGAUAACGUAGCGAAAGUUACGCUAAUACCGCAUAUUCUGUGAGCAGGAAAGCAGGGGAUCGCAAGACCUUGCGCUGAUGGAGCGGCCGGUGUCAGAUUAGGUAGUUGGUGAGGUAAAGGCUCACCAAGGCGACGAUCUGUAGCGGGUCUGAGAGGAUGAUCCGCCACACUGGAACUGAGACACGGUCCAGACUCCUACGGGAGGCAGCAGUGGGGAAUUUUGGACAAUGGGGGCAACCCUGAUCCAGCCAUGCCGCGUGAGUGAAGAAGGCCUUCGGGUUGUAAAGCUCUUUCGGCCGGGAAGAAAUCGCACGGGCUAAUACCCUGUGUGGAUGACGGUACCGGAAUAAGAAGCACCGGCUAACUACGUGCCAGCAGCCGCCGUAAGAC
rnacentral:rRNA from 1 species